rnacentral:tRNA from 1 species
GCCCAGGUGCAGAAAUUGGUAGACUGGCUGGCUUGAGGGGCCAGUGUUCGUAAGGACGUGAGGGUUCGACUCCCUCCCUGGGCACAA